ACCCUGGGAUGUUCGCCAGUCGACAACGUCCUUAGCCGAUAUCUGUACCCAGGGAUUCUCCUUCACGGCCGUUGAGCAAGUCCGCACGACGGAAAGCCUGAAGCCCAGCGGAGGAUCCCACCUUGAACUUUCGGUUCAAGGCAACCUCGACAGCGGCAUCUCCGGGG
rnacentral:other from 1 species